CGGUGGAGCAUGUGGUUUAAUUCGAUGAUACGCGACGGAACCUUACCGUGGGCUACAAAUGUAUGUUGACGUUAUUCUAGGAAAGGAUACUUCUUCGGACAAUAUACAAGGUGCUGCAUGGUUGUCGUCAGCUCGUGCCGUGAGGUGUCGGGUUAAGUCCCAUAACGAGCGCAACCCCUAUCAUUAGUUGCCAUCAGGUCAAGCUGGGGACUCUAAUGAAACUGCCUACGCAAGUAGUGAGGAAGGUGGGGAUGACGUCAAAUCAGCACGGCCCUUACGUCCAGGGCUACACACGUGUUACAAUGGCCAGUACAGAGGGCAGCCACCCCGCGAGGGGGCGCUAAUCCUAAAAGCUGGUCCCAGUUCGGAUCGGAGUCUGCAACCCGACUCCGUGAAGCUGGAUUCGCUAGUAAUCGCGCAUCAGCCACGGCGCGGUGAAUACGUUCCCGGGCCUU
rnacentral:rRNA from 1 species